GGGUGUGUAGCUCAGAUGGUAGAGCAGCUGACUCUUAAUCAGCGGGUCCACGGUUCGAGCCCGUGCUCACCCACCA
rnacentral:tRNA from 2 species